rnacentral:rRNA from 1 species
AACGAACGCUGGCGGCAGGCUUAACACAUGCAAGUCGAACGCCCCGCAAGGGGAGUGGCAGACGGGUGAGUAACGCGUGGGAACAUACCCUUUUCUACGGAAUAGCUCUGGGAAACUGGAAUUAAUACCGUAUACGCCCUACGGGGGAAAGAUUUAUCGGGGAAGGAUUGGCCCGCGUUGGAUUAGCUAGUUGGUGGGGUAAAGGCCUACCAAGGCGACGAUCCAUAGCUGGUCUGAGGGGAUGAUCAGCCACAUUGGGACUGAGGCACGGCCCAAACUCCUACGGGAGGCAGCAGUGGGGAAUAUUGGACAAUGGGCGCAAGCCUGAUCCAGCCAUGCCGCGUGAGUGAUGAAGGCCUUAGGGUUGUAAAGCUCUUUCACCGAUGAAGAUAAUGACGGUAGUCGGAGAAGAAGCCCCGGCUAACUUCGUGCCAGCCGCCGCUGUAAAAC